ACCAACAACAAUUAACAUAGUUAUUGCACGCUAUAACCUGUGUAGCAUCCGAACAUGCUUCUCUGCAGAUGGAUGUAGAAAGAGGAAAGGAUAUAGAGACUUGGAAAAAUUUAGGAAUGGAAUUUCAGAACUGAACCCACGGAAGCUGCUGGUGGAUUGAAGCUGCGGCAGUAGAAAUGAUGGAGCAUGAACACCAAGGACGGUUGAGAACUGCUGGAGAUUACAGGAAAUAAAAAGGGGCUAUGCCAUGGAUCUGGCAACAAAAUGAGAACUUUUAAUUUGAUUUGCUACUAAUUCAGGUACAUGCUUUCUGCAGGAUGGUGUCUGCAUCUCUUACACUGGAACGGCGAUUUCACUUCAGAAAAGUAGCUAAAUGACUGAAACUGUUCCCCCACAAACAGUGGUCCAUUGUCACUGACCAAGUGUUCUGGAACACCAGUCCCUGAAACAGUGUGCGAGGCUGUAGUGUAGUCUAUUGGGAACACUUCUGGUUACUUUGUAGCUGCAUCCACGGUUACGAAGAUAUUUGCAUCAAUAAACAGUCUGGCAAAAUCCACAUGAACCCUUCGCCAGGGCAGUGCAGGCCAGAACCCCUUGCCAGGGCAGUGCAGACCAUUCCCAGGGAUGGAGAGGCGCUGCUCUUGGCAUCUUCUGGACAUAUUGGCAUCUCGUACAGUGCAUGGUAAACCGCUCGAUCUGCUGAACUAUCUCAGGCCACCAGACAAAGCUUCGAGCGAAUGCUUUCACUUUAACCAUGUCUAGAUGAUCGGAAUGUAGCUGCUCCAACACUUUAGCUCACAGCUUGGAUUGUACAGCAACUCUCAAUCACCUCAAAAGGCAACCUCCAUCAAGAGCAAGUUCAUCUAGGUGCUGGUAAAAGUAGGGGAAUGUAAGUUUCUGCUGCACGCUCCAGCCACACAACUUCCAAAAAAGGCCAGACUGUCCUUUGGCCUUGAGGCAUCCACCACCGCUUGAACUUUCUUGCCACAUUUGUGUAAUCCUUGUGCAUCAAUCGUAUGACCACACAAAUGAACGCUCAACAUCUCAAUAUAUAAAAUAAAAGCAAGUGGACAUUGGUCCUCAUGGGUCUGCUUUGUCAUUCAAUAAGAUGAAGACUGAUUUUCUUCUAUGUCUG